UGGUUCUCAAAUUCUGGGAUUUUUAUUCAUAACAUAAUCAAUGGGCAAACUCCAAAUAAAACUUCCUUUUAGUCUUCCUCCUCCGUCUCUACCUCCGCUGCCCUCAUUACGCGUUGACCCUCCUGCUCCGACGUCCUCGUCCUAUAUCCUCUUCCCGCUCAUGCAAAUCCAGCAUCUCCCAUUGAUCGCAACAGGAGUGAAUUAUCUUCCUUUCCUUCCGCUUCUCUUUCUCUGCUUAGCUUUUAGGUUUUUGUAAAUUUGUAAUUUGUUGAUUAUGUUUUGUGCCCAAGAUUCAUGAUUUUGGUGAUUUAUAGUUGCAGUAGAGCUCCGGUGCCGGGUUGAAAUAAGAUGUGAUAUUGGCCUGUUGUUUCUUGAAUUGUUGCUGAUUGUUUCAAUUUUAGCAUCCUUUGAAGUCGGAAACUUGAAAUCUUAUUACGGGUUAUAGAGUUGUUUUGUCCGUGUAAUUUUUAUUCUUUUCCUAGAAUGUCUAUAUGGUCAUAUUUGUUUUUGGUUAGAUUGAGCUUGUAUAUUUGGUAUGUCUAUAAUUUAUUGGAUUUGGUUAGUUGAAGAAUUAGUUCGGGAUGAACUUAGUGCACUUGGUUGUAGACGGUUGAAAUUUACAGUCACGUUGUAAAGUGCUGUAUUCAUGAAUAUUCUAGACUUGAUACUUGAUAGGGUGCCUAUCCUGCCAUGCUCUUAUGAUUGAGCUAGACAUGAUACGGAAAAUGUCCAGCCUCCACGAAUGUGAUCAUUUGCAUAGGGUUGAAUGCUUGUGUGUAAACUAGGCAUCACUAUUUAUAAACGUGUUGAACAACCCAUGUUUAGGAAUGGUGUACCCAUUUGAUGUAGCACAAUCUCUGCUUGGUGAGACAUGUGGUUGAUGGUGGGAUAUGGGAUGCCCCCAUGUGUCUAUUCCGUUUCACAGAGAUUUUCAUGGGGAUGGAGACUUUUGUGCCCAUUACAUUGACUUGCUUAUGAAAUUAUUUUGAGUUAUAUUUUGUGUGAUAGACAUAUGAUCCUGGUUAAGGUAUAAGGAUCAUGUGUGUUAAGGCACAAGGAUCAUGUGUGCUGCAAUGGGGUUGUAGCAUCUUGGCCAAUUGGCUUUGUUUUGUUGGCUUAUCAGAUACAAAUAGGCAGUGUCCUGUCACAUAGCUCUUUAGCCUUCCUUGACUGAGACUUGUUGAUUGAUCUCAUCCACUUGAAAAUUCAUGUAGAAGUUGCCAAUUCUACUUUGUAAAGAGUUGCCUCGGCCCCAUUGCUCUUAUUGCAUCAAACUAGAUAGCCCCGCGAUCCUACCUUCAGUUUUCUUCUUUCAAUUUGUAUGAGAAAGUUAUUGGAUCAGUUUGCUGGUCAGUCACCCUAUCUUGCGUAUUUUCCUCUUCAUUUUUUGUAUAGGGUUGAUGGAUGAUAUCUAAUUUAUCCUCUGAGGUGGUUCAUUCUGCUUGAGAGCUGGCAAGUAGUAUGCUAGGAAUAAAAAGUUUAACUGCUUAUAAGUUGUAGGCCCUAUAGAAUGUGGGUACUAAGUAGUUAAGUUGUGGGUUCUUUGUUUUACCAGCUUAAAAAAAAAUCAAGCUUUGCCAAACUUGCACUUAAAGAAGCAAAUUGAUCUGUUAUGACAUUUUUGGGGCUUGAUGUUAAAUAGUCUGGAGAUAUUCUGCUGUGAUAAGAAGUGGUCUGGAAACAUAAAAUACUGGAAUAUUAGAGAAAUGAGAUAUCAUUUAUGGAGAACCAGGAGACUGUUGCUUUUAUAGAAUUAUUCAAACGGAUAGGAACAGAAUAAUGAGUUCUUUGGUCAAACAACUAGAAUGGAACGAAGUAUAUUUGUGUUUGUAUUGCAAAGAGAAUUAAUUCUGUCUUAAGAAACUACGUGCUAUAUAUUGUUGAACACAUGACUUUUUCCUUGCUUCUUUUGAAGUGAUUAGUAUUAUUAGCAAGGGGAUGAAAUAUAUUGUGUUACUGUAAAGAGAAUUAAAUGUGACUUAAUUGAGACUACAUGCUAUAUCUUGUUACGUGUUUGAACUUUUCCUUGCUUCUUUUGCAGUGAUUGGUAUCAUUAGAAGGAAGGUAUUGAUUAAAGACUUGGCUGCUGCAUACCAUGUUGAGUGCCUCACGUAUUGUCAGGAACUUUUGGAACUUCAAAGUAAAGUUGACGAGGUAAAAAUUUUCAUGCCACAUAUUUUCUUUGUUUUCUCUAAUCACGCUUUUCUUUAGGGUUGGGCAAAUCUCCCGGACCAAUUCGACCGUACCGAACCCGACGGUUCUUGUCAAAUUAAAUACCCGAACGGGUAUCUGAAUUGAGAACCGACGGGUACGGUUCAGUUCUCGGUUCUAAACCAAGAACCGAAAAAUCGAAUAAGAACCAAAUCUUUCUAAUUUUUUUUUUAUAUUGAGUAAAUCAAAUUAUUUUAAUUUUAAUUUUUUCUAAAUAAAUUAACAAUUUCUAAAUUCAAAUUUUUGGCCCAAUAAUUUGUUUCAUUUCUAAUUUUUUAAUUUUUGGCCCAAUUACCCAUUUUAUUGUUUCAUAUCUUAGCCCAACAAGAUCCAAUCCACUAAAUAACUCUAAACACCUACACUAAAGUGUAUAAUGUUGUCUCGACUCUCGCAGCCUUGCUAAUAUUCCAAAACUUAUAUAAUCGUCGGCCGAUACUGUGAUUUCCGAUUGAAGCUAUGAUCUCUGCCGACCGAAACUUUGAUCGUAGCGAUCAUUUGAACAAGGUAAUCUAUUAGUCUCUGACAUUCAAAAACCAUUGAAUGUAUCAUUAGUUGUAUUUAUAUAAUAUUGUUAUAAAUAUUAAAAAAUUUAAUUAUAGCACGAACGGAACCGAACCGAACCGAACUGAUCGGAACCGUACCCGAACGAUUCCAUAAUUAUAUUUGGACCCGACGGUUCCAUUUACUAGAUAUCCAAAAAUUUUGGUUCGGACCGAACCGAAUCGACCCGCACCCACCCCUACUUUUCUUAUUGAUUCUUAACAUAACUGAAAAUUGUGAUUUAUUUGGAUGGUUUAUUUACUAUAUUGAUACUUGGCACUAU
rnacentral:lncRNA from 1 species